rnacentral:rRNA from 1 species
GCAGCCGCGGUAAUUCCAGCUCCAAUAGCGUAUAUUAAAGUUGUUGCAGUUAAAAAGCUCGUAGUUGAACCUUAGGCCCGUGCGGGCGGUCCGUCCUCUGGGCGAGCACUGCUCCGUCGCGGGUCUCACCUUCUGGCGAGCGUGGAUGCCAUUUAUUUGGUGUCCGCGGGAACCAGGACCUUUACCUUGAAAAAAUUAGAGUGCUCAAAGCGGGCUCCGACGCUUGAAUACAUUAGCAUGGAAUAAUGAAAUAGGACGAUGGUUCUAUUUUGUUGGUUUCCGGGGCCGUCGUAAUGAUUAAUAGGGAUAGUUGGGGGCAUUCGUAUUCAAUUGUCAGAGGUGAAAUUCUUGGAUUUAUUGAAGACGAACUACUGCGAAAGCAUUUGCCAAGGAUGUUUUCAUUAAUCAAGAACGAAAGUUGGGGGAUCGAAGACGAUCAGAUACCGUCGUAGUCUCAACCAUAAACUAUGCCGACUAGGGAUCGGAUGAUGUUAUUUUUAAUGACUC